CUGUCUUUCCCAUCUGGUAUGUCGCCCGCCUGCUCUAUCCCUUCCAGAGUCCGGACUCCCUGGUUUUGCAAGAUUGGCCGCUGCUGGGCUGCUACCUGGCUGGAUCGGUCCCCUGCUGGCUCGCUUCUCCCAGAUCGCCACUGACGCCCCUGCUGCCGCGCGCAUCGCUUGCCUGCUGUCCCGCCGCUAGGACUCCGGUUGAAGGCUGCGCCUGCGUCUCCGCCGCUUCUGCCUGCCCGUCGCCUCUUCUGCGCAACACACCUUGGCUGUGUCCGCUCCUCAGCGCUGCUCUGGUCAGCUGCUUCGCUGCUGUAUUCCUGUUGGCUGCUGAUUGAUUAUUCAUUGGGUGCUUGCAUAGCAUUGUCCAUCUCGUUAGCAGGCUGCGUUUGGCAUUGCGGUGGAUUAUCAUAAUCCUGUUUGCCCAACCUGAUUUUGCCUAUUUCCGUGCCUAAUUUUCUACAGCCAAUUGUAAAGUUAUUAUUUGGCUCAGUAGCUCUGCUAAGACUUGGUGGUUAGCCACUUUUUUCGAUCUUAGGUAUUCAGGAGCUCUGCGUGCUACAUCAAGUACUUCACAAUCAGGAGAAGCAAGUACUUCCAAUCAAUCGCAGAACGACCAAUAAUUGCAAUGGCCAAACAAUCAGGAUCUCUCAGCACCUCAGCCUUUUAUUUCACAUGGUCCUGUCAGCUCAACAACAAGCAACAGGGACCUUGAAAAUUCACUACAAAAGACUUACGAAAACGCUAUAAGGAGCCAGAUAGAGAUGUUGCAAAUCCAAUUGCAAAUGGUGCAGCAAGAGGCAACAGCAUUGGCAACUAACAAUGAGAAUGCUGAACAAGCAAAAAAUGAGUGAAGUGGCAUAUAUGGUGAAGCGUGAUCUUGAUAAACAUGCAGAGAGUAUAGAUGGAGAUUUUGCAAUGCCUUUGGUGGGGGCUCGCUUAUGUAAAUGUUAGCACCCCUAUCAACAUCAGAUGUUUGUUCGUUUAAUGUGCUAGUUUGCGUAGCUUAAAUCUUUCUGUCAAACCAGGAAUAUACCUUAGAAAGAAAGGGAGUCAUGUUGUAGAGCUGACUAAUUUGACAACAUCUGUGAGACCAAGGAAAAAUGCAUCUGCUGGGGAACAUUUUUCAACAUGCUAUCAGAACUAAACCUUCUAUA